rnacentral:rRNA from 1 species
GAUUAACGCUAGCGGCAGGCCUAAUACAUGCAAGUCGAGCGGCAAGUUUUGAUAGCAAUAUUGGAACCUAGAGCGGCGCACGGGUGAGUAACGCGUACAUGACCUGCCCUAUACUGGGGGAUAGUCUUGGGAAACUGAGAAUAAUCCCGCAUGUGAUUAGAAUGCUGCAUGGCAAAUUAAUUAAAGACUGAGGCGGUAUAGGAUGGGCAUGCGUCCGAUUAGCUAGUUGGCGGGGUAACGGCCCACCCAAGGCGACGAUCAGUAGCUGGUCUGAGAGGAUGAUCAGCCACACUGGAACUGAGACACGGUCCAGACUCCUACGGGAGGCAGCAGUGAGGAAUAUUGGGCAAUGCCCGCAAGGGUGACCCAGCAACGCCGCGUGGAGGAUGAAGGUCGUAAGAUCGUAAACUCCUGUUAGAGGGGAAGAACACCACCGAUUGGAUCGGUGUUUGACUGUACCCUCAGAGA